ACAACAGUGAAGAAACAAAGAACGACGAAAGAAGGAGAAGAGGGUGGCGAUGACAGGGAGGGUCAUAGAGAAGGAUGCUAGAUCGACAGAGAAAAGAAGAGAAAUGAGGUGAUGGCGGUGAUGGAUGCCACCGCCGCUAUUGGAUCCGUAGAACCGUGUCCAUUUACCUAUCAAGCGGCAUUCUGCAGAGUGAUCCAUUUGAGAGAUGGUGUUUUUGGACGGAAUAAAUUGAAAAAGCUAAAUCAGCUCUGGCUAAGGAUGAGACUGAGCUUUCAAAAUUGAUAAAAGAAGAAAAUAUACUUAAAGAUAUUGUGCAACAGCUAAGUGGUAUUCUUUUUCUUUCAUGCUGCUCAUGACUGACUCUGAACUUGAAUGUAAUGAAAAACGACUGUCAGAUGCACCAGACAGGACACCGGCUGCCAAUAUUGAAGGUGGCUGAAGCAUUGCAUUUUUAGACGAACUGCUUUAUUUAAAGGAGGAGUUUACACUUUUGAAGCCAAACAAAAAUCGAACCAUUAGCCUAGAAAACAUCAAAGCGACCUCGAUGAAAAACGCAACAAAUACUAUGGAGUCACGCAUUCUUGACUUUUUUGGAUCAGUAAGUUCUAUGAUUUAACUAUACCAAUGCUUCCAUACAUUAUAUAAAUAGCAUUUGCACCAAUAGUGCUCACUGAUUAAAAUGAAUUUGGGUUGCAGCUUAAUGCAUUGCAAUAUAGAAGGAUGGAUUUUGAUGAGUUUCGUGCAGCUACACUUAGUGUUCAUCAACUUGAAGCACUUGAUAGGUGGGAGAAACAUGCACAGUGUUCCUAUAAGCAUUUUGAAAAGAACGGAAACAACUCUAUAAUCAUUGAGGAACUAGCUUUGGUUUAUUCCACUGCA